rnacentral:rRNA from 1 species
UACGAAGGGGGCUAGCGUUGUUCGGAAUUACUGGGCGUAAAGCGCACGUAGGCGGGUUGUUAAGUCAGGGGUGAAAUCCCGGAGCUCAACUCCGGAACUGCCUUUGAUACUGGCAAUCUAGAGACUGGAAGAGGUUAGUGGAAUUCCUGGUGUAGCGGUGAAAUGCGCAGAUAUCAGGAAGAACACCCGUGGCUAAGGCGGCUCUCUAGUACGGUACUGACGCUGAGACGCGAAAGCGUGGGGAGCGAACAGG